rnacentral:rRNA from 1 species
UACGUAGGGGGCAAGCGUUGUCCGGAUUUAUUGGGCGUAAAGAGCGUGUAGGCGGUCAGGUAGGUCCGUUGUGAAAACUCGGGGCUUAACCCCGAGCCUGCUUCUGAUACGGGCAGACUAGAGGUAUGCAGGGGAGAACGGAAUUCCUGGUGUAGCGGUGAAAUGCGCAGAUAUCAGGAGGAACACCGGUGGCGAAGGCGGUUCUCUGGGCAUUACCUGACGCUGAGGAGCGAAAGUGUGGGGAGCGAACAGG